UACGUAGGGUGCGAGCGUUGUCCGGAAUUAUUGGGCGUAAAGAGCUCGUAGGCGGUUCGUCGCGUCGAAUGUGAAAACCCGGGGCUCAACUCCGGGCCUGCAUUCGAUACGGGCGGACUAGAGUUCGGUAGGGGAGACUGGAAUUCCUGGUGUAGCGGUGAAAUGCGCAGAUAUCAGGAGGAACACCAGCAGCGAAGGCGGCGCUCUGGGCUGGAACUGACGCUGAGGAGCGAAAGCGUGGGUAGCAAACAGG
rnacentral:rRNA from 1 species